UAGACCGGGUCAGCCGGUGGGCAAUCCUCCACCCCAUGCUACCACUAUCACACAAGUCUUCCCGUAUCCCCAUCCCACGCAAAAACAAUCCCCAUCCCGAUCCCACGCUGGUGCGGCGCCUCCAUCCCAAUCCCCAUCCCGAUCUCCUUCCCCACCUCCACCUCUAGACGACCCCGACGGCCAGAUCACGCCGGAGCCUGCGGUCCUCCUCCACCUUCAACUCCUCUCCUCUCCGGUUGCGCCGCCACCCUGUUCGUGGUCGAGCCGCGGCGAGCAGCAGAGGACCGCCGCUGGCUCGUCCACAACCAAUCGGCGAGCAGCAGAGCAGAGGACCCCAUAGCUGCCUACCGUGCCAAGCUCCCUCCCUCCUCGUGAACGAAGCCCUACCCCACGGCCAUGGCUAGGUUUGUGCAGUUUUUGCCCAUCUCAUCUGUGUGCAGGUCCCUUCUCUGAGAGGGUGCUGCUCACGCUGGAGGAGAAGGAGGUGCCCUACGAGAUGAAGCUCAUCGACGUCAGCAACAAGCCCGACUGAUUUGCUUAUCGUGAAGACGCUUGCAAGGAUGCAGCGGGAGCAGAUCAUUUGGAGAGAUAGGAUGCGACAAAUUGGUCUUUCUAUGCAUUUUGGUUUGCUUGUAACCGUGUUUGCACUAGCUGGGAAUAAGUGACUUGGCAAGAACUGUAGGUGUCUGGAUAUGCUCUAAUGCUCCUGGUUUACUAUAAAUCUUGGAUUUGUAAUGAUGUGUAAUGCAUAAAAUGGAAUUUGGGGAUUUUAA